UGGAGCGCCCCGGAAGGAGGCAGGCUGCCCCGCGCUUGCCCGCCUGCGCUGGGCCACCAGCACACCAGCCCACCGCCCCGCCGCCCCGGCUGCCUCACCACAGACGCCUGUUGCCCAUCCCUGUGGAGCUUCAGUGUUUAGGGCGAGGGCAGCAGCGUAGAGACUGUGCCCUGCGCUCGGCCCGACGCCAGAAAUGCCAACGCCUGGCCACCAGCAGAUCCACGCCGCCGCCCUGCGCUGAGGACUCCGGAGGCCAUCGGCGGGCUGCCUGUCUGCGGCUCCCGACACUGGAUCUGACAUCCACCUGACUAUUCUGUACCCUGACGUCUGCCUGCACAGCGAUAUAUGGGAAGUGGACAAGCUUGGAUUCUAUGGAAGUGAGAUAACCUUUCAAGAAGACAGCUGAGAGAGCACGCCUCUGGUUUGCUCCUGGCUCCACGUUCUCUCUUAUUUGUAUUCAAUAAUUUAUGCCAGAAAUGCCAGAAAAUGGGGUGGGGAGAGCCCUGCGUUUGCCAAGUUCUGUGAUGUUAAUACUCCCACCAUGGCUGAUUACAAGCUACCGACAUUUUAACAACUGGCUAUCUUAUCUCCUUUCCCAUCUUCUCAAACAUAUACACAAUUGGAAGCUCCCUAAGAUUAAUCAAUUUUUAUCUCCUAGUCACAUGAUUUAUAUACUGGAAAUGCACCCUUUGAAAGGGUGGUGGAGUAUCUGACCACAACCUGGGAUGAAAGAUGCUCAGAUUCUCUGAGAGGAGACCCUGGGAAGACUGGAAACGGCGUGCUAGCCAGCCAUGGACAUGGACAUACAGAGGAAAGACUCAGAGGGGGGUGUGGAGAUGGAAGUCAAGAUGCCAUCCAUCCACAUAGCAAGGCACCAAGUUUCAAUAAGUUCUCGGGUCUAGUUAGCCCUUUCCUUCUCAUUAGAAACCCAGGUGGUGCAAACAUAUUUGAAAUAAUCCAGGGAAGGAACCACAAAACUGAAGACUGAGUUACGGUGGGGUCCAGAAGGACUGGGGAUGGUGCUUGUUGAGUCCCUGGACAAUGUGCCAUGACCCUGGGGGAAUCUAUCUGUUCAGCUACAUGAGUGCAGGGCCAUAUGCAAAGAGGGUUUGAGCAGCACAGGGAAGUUUGGCCUUUGUGGGCAGAUACGACUUGAUGCUUAUGGAAUGCUAUUUCUAAAGGUUCACUGCAUUGCUAUUCACAUCACACUCUCUUCGUAAAAUGAGCCAGGGAAAAAGAGAGAGAGAAAGAAUUCACACACUAUUUCAGAUAUAGAUAAUACCAAAAGGCAAUAUUUACUAUGCACCAGGCACUGUUCUACUUUUCACACCUUGACAGUUAAUCCUCAGGACUGUUCUAUGUAUGAGUUGGGUGCUAUGAUUAAGCCCAUUUUACAAAUGAGGAAACUGAGGCACAGGCUGCUUUAGUAACUUGCCCAAGUUUACACGCUAAUAAGUGGCAGACUGAGAUUGAAGCCUGGCCGUAUGGCUCAGAGUAUGGGCUCCACUAUGGAUAGGAUCUCUCCUCUUAAUCACUGAGCCCUGGCCGUCGGGCGUCCUGGGUGUGUACACAUUUUCUUUUUGACUGUGACCCUGAGUGUGGCUCAUCAAGAGUCCUGAGAAGCCCGUUCCUGACUUGUGGUGGGGUCUUGCGGGGCCGAGGUACUGUUUGGAUUGGGCUUCUGGGCACUGACUCUGCU